GAUGAACGCUAGCUACAGGCUUAACACAUGCAAGUCGAGGGGUAACGAGAGGAAAGCUUGCUUUCCUUGUCGACGACCGGCGCACGGGUAAGUAACGCGUAUCCAACCUGCCCCCAACUAAGGAAUAACCUUGCGAAAGUAAGACUAAUACCUUAUAAUUUCCUCAGAUGUCAUCUGACGAGGAAUAAAGAUUUAUCGGUUGUGGAUGGGGAUGCGUCUGAUUAGCUGGUUGGCGGGAUAACGGCCCACCAAGGCAACGAUCAGUAGGGGUUCUGAGAGGAAGGUCCCCCACAUUGGAACUGAGACACGGUCCAAACUCCUACGGGAGGCAGCAGUGAGGAAUAUUGGUCAAUGGGCGAAAGCCUGAACCAGCCAAGUAGCGUGCAGGAUGACGGCCCUAUGGGUUGUAAACUGCUUUUAUACAGGAAUAAAGUUAGCCACGUGUGGUUAUUUGUAGGUACUGUAUGAAUAAGGACCGGCUAAUUCCGUGCCAGCAGCCGCAGUAA
rnacentral:rRNA from 1 species